rnacentral:rRNA from 1 species
AGUGAACGCUGGCGGUAGGCCUAACACAUGCAAGUCGAACGGCAGCACAGUAAGAGCUUGCUCUUACGGGUGGCGAGUGGCGGACGGGUGAGGAAUACAUCGGAAUCUACUUUUUCGUGGGGGAUAACGUAGGGAAACUUACGCUAAUACCGCAUACGACCUACGGGUGAAAGCAGGGGAUCUUCGGACCUUGCGCGAUUGAAUGAGCCGAUGUCGGAUUAGCUAGUUGGCGGGGUAAAGGCCCACCAAGGCGACGAUCCGUAGCUGGUCUGAGAGGAUGAUAAGCGACACUGGAACUGGGACACGGUCCAGACUCCUACGGGAGGCAGCAGUGGGGAAUAUUGGACAAUGGGCGCAAGCCUGAUCCAGCCAUACCGCGUGGGUGAAGAAGGCCUUCGGGUUGUAAAGCCCUUUUGUUGGGAAAGAAAAGCAGCAGGUUAAUACCCCGCUGUUCUGACGGUAACCAAAGAAUAAGCACCGGCUAACUUCGUG